rnacentral:rRNA from 1 species
GCUGGCGGCGUGCCUAACACAUGCCAUUCCAACGGGAACAUAAUGAAACCUAUUGAUUUUUGUUUUACUGGCGGACGGGUGAGUAACGCGUGGGUAACCUGCCGUAUACAGGGGGAUAACACUUACAAAUACGUGCUAAUACCGCAUACCCGCUCCGCUCCGCAUGGAUCAGUGUGAAAAGCGUAAACGGUAUACGAUGGACCCACGUCUGAUUACCUAGUUGGCGGGUUACAGGCCCACCCACGCUACGAUCACUAGCCGGCCUGAGAGGGUGACCGGCCACAUUGGGACUGAUACUCCGCCCAUUCUCCUACGGUAGGCACCAGUGGGGAAUAUUGCACGAUGGGGGGAACCCUGAUGCAUCGACGCCACGUGAGUGAUCAAUUAUUUCCGUAUGUCAAGCUCUAUCAACACGAAAUAAAAUGACCGUACCUGACUAUGAAUCCCCGGCUAACUACGUGCCCAGCACCCUCUGUAAUACCUAGGGGGCCAAGCGUUAUCCGGGAUUUACUGGGGGUAAAAGGGAGCGUAGACGGUUAUGCAAGUUCUGAAGUGAAAGCCCAAAGGCUUCACCCAUGGGACUGCUUUGGAAAACUGUAAAACUGGAGUGCAGGAGAGGUAAGCGGAAUUCCUAGUGUAGCGGUGAAAUGCGUAGAUAUUAGGAGGAACACCAGUGGCGAAGGCGGCUUACUGGACUGUAACUGACGUUGAGGCUCGAAGGCGUGGGGAGCAAACAGGAUUAGAUACCCUGGUAGUCCACGCGGUAAACGAUGAUCACUAGGUGUCGGUGGGUAGAGACCCAUCGGUGCCGCCGCAAACGCAGUAAGUGAUCCACCUGGGGAGUACGUUCGCAAGAAUGAAACUCAAAGGAAUUGACGGGGACCCGCACAAGCGGUGGAGCAUGUGGUUUAAUUCGAAGCAACGCGAAGAACCUUACCUGGGCUUGACAUCCCGAUGAAUGCAGGGCAAUGCCUGCAGCCCUACGGGGCAUUGGGGACAGGUGGUGCAUGGUUGUCGUCAGCUCGUGUCGUGAGAUGUUGGGUUAAGUCCCGCAACGAGCGCAACCCUUAUUUUUAGUAGCCAGCAGUAAGAUGGGGACUCUAGAGAGACUGCCGGGGACAACCCGGAGGAAGGCAGGGAAGACGUCAAAUCAUCAUGCCCCUUAUGUCCAGGGCUACACACUGCUGCUACAAUGGCGUAAACAAAGGGAAGCAGGAGGGCGACCUAGAGCAAAUCCCAAAAACAACGUCUCAGUUCGGAUUGCAGUCUGCAACUGGACGGCAUGAAGCCGGAAUCUCUAGUAAUCGCGGAUCAGAAUGCCGCGGAGAAUACGUUCCCGGGUGUAGUACACACCGCCCGUCACACCAUGGGAGUCGGAAAUGCCCGAAGUCGGUGACCCAACCGAAAGGGGGGAG